CUGUAGGGACCCUGAGUGUUUGGCACUUUGGGUUUGAUGAUGUACCUUGCUAUUUAAGGAGUGUGGGAGAAUUAUCCUAUCUGAAGUUCAGAAUAGACUUUUCUCUUCAAGAGAAAAUUAUUUUUAAGUAUUUGAAUGAUUCUUGAGUAGAAUAUACCUAUCAUAAAAAUUUACAAUCUACAAUUCACGGUUCCAAGAUGAGAUCAGAGGGCCACAGAUGUAACUGGCACGGAUCUUCAUUGUAUCAUGGGGAGCUAAUUGUGGUGCGUGGACUCUUUAAUUGUGGCUCAUGGGCUUAGCUGCUCUGCAGCAUGUGGGAUCCUAGUUCCCAGACCCGGGAUGGAAGCCGAGUGCCCUGCAUUGCAAGACAGCUUCUUAACCACUGAACACCUGAGAAGUCUCUGGAUGGCAGUUUUUAAACAGCCACUCUGAAGAUGGGGAUUUUAUUGUACCACUUUGCUUUUCCCUCCCUUCUGUCUAGAAUUAGGGAACUGCAACCAAAUCUGGCCUUCUGCUUGCUUUUGUAAAUAAAGUUUCACUGCAACUUG